GAUGAAGAACGUAGCGAAGUGCGAUAAGUAGUGUGAAUUGCAGAAUUUCGUGAAUCAUCGAAUCUUUGAACGCACAUUGCGCCCCAUGGUAUUCCGUGGGGCAUGCCUGUUCGAGCGUCAUUUACCCCCUCAAGCUCCGCUUGGUGUUGGGCGUCUGUCCCGCUUCGCGCGCGGACUCGCCCCAAAGGUAUUGGCAGCGGUCGUGCCAGCUUCUCGCGCAGCACAUUGCGCUUCUCGAGGCACCGGUGGGCCCGCGUCCAUCAAGCUCACCCCCCCAGUUUGACCUCGGAUCAGGUAGGGAUACCCGCUGAACUUAAGCAUAUCAAUAAGCGGAGGA
rnacentral:misc_RNA from 1 species